rnacentral:rRNA from 1 species
AUUGAACGCUGGCGGAAUGCUUUACACAUGCAAGUCGAGCGGCAGCGCGGGGGCAACCCUGGCGGCGAGCGGCGAACGGGUGAGUAACAUAUCGGAACGUACCCUGUCGUGGGGGAUAACUAUCCGAAAGGAUAGCUAAUACCGCAUACGACCUGAGGGUGAAAGCGGGGGACCGCAAGGCCUCGCGCGAUAGGAGCGGCCGAUAUCGGAUUAGCUAGUUGGUGAGGUAAAGGCUCACCAAGGCGACGAUCCGUAGCGGGUCUGAGAGGACGACCCGCCACACUGGAACUGAGACACGGUCCAGACUCCUACGGGAGGCAGCAGCGGGGAAUUUUGGACAAUGGGGGCAACCCUGAUCCAGCCAUUCCGCGUGAGUGAAGAAGGCC